rnacentral:rRNA from 1 species
GACGAACGCUGGCGGCGUGCUUAACACAUGCAAGUCGAACGGAAAGGCCCCCAUCUUGGUGGGGGUGCUCGAGUGGCGAACGGGUGAGUAACACGUGGGUGAUCUGCCCUGUACUUCGGGAUAAGCUUGGGAAACUGGGUCUAAUACCGGAUAGGACCAUGGUUUAGUGUCUCAUGGUGGAAAGAUUAUUGUUUUGGUGCAGGAUGAGCUCGCGGCCUAUCAGCUUGUUGGUGGGGUAAUGGCCUACCAAGGCGUCGACGGGUAGCCGGCCUGAGAGGGUGGACGGCCACAUUGGGACUGAGAUACGGCCCAGACUCCGACGGGAGGCAGCAGUGGGGAAUAUUGCACAAUGGGCGCAAGCCUGAUGCAGCGACGCCGCGUGGGGGAUGACGGCCUUCGGGUUGUAAACUCCUUUCGUUAGGGACGAAGCCGCACUUUUUUGGGGUGUGGUGACGGUACCUUUGUUAAGAAGCACCGGCUAACUACGUG